rnacentral:rRNA from 1 species
UACGAAGGGGGCUAGCGUUGUUCGGAAUUACUGGGCGUAAAGCGUACCGAUAGGUUGUUUUGCAAGUCAGAAGAAAAAUCUCCGAGCUCAACUCGGAAUCUGUCUUUUGAAACUGCAAAACUAGAGGGGCAAAGAGGAAGCUAGAACGAACGGUGUAGUAGUGAAAUGCGUUGAUAUCGUUCGGAAUACCGAUAGCGAAGGCAGGCUUCUGGGUGCCACCUGACACUGCUAGGACGAAAGCGUGGGGAGCGAAUGGG